AUGAUGACUUUACAUACACACAUUUUUAGAAAUUUCAAAUAUUAUAUACAUAUCAGUUCUUUCAAGCACAUGGUGCUAGCUUUGUUUGAUAGAAUUAUAAAUAUUUUGUUCAUGUCUAAAGCUCAAUUUCACUAAAAGUGAUAACAGACUAGUAUAAUCAGCCACAAGAUAAGAUUGUGAUCUUUGAUUUAUUGCAAGAAUAAUGUAUAUACAUCCUUGGAAGAUCAAUAUAUAUGGAAAUCAGAAUAAAAACACACCACCUUGGUUUAAGUCAUGCAUGCAUAACAACUACCCCUCUUCUAGUUUGCAAGCAAUCUAAAAUACUUCAGUUUUGGGGUUACCAACUCUUAUUGUUUGUCAAAGACUCAACAAUAUAGAGUUUUCCAGGACAUUCUAAUAUUAUGCUACACAAUGAAUUAAAUGGAGGUAAAUCGUAAAAAGUUUCUUUUAUCAUGCCAAUAGUUUACUCACUUUACUCUAGUAGUCAAACUAACCUAAAGUAUCAAAUAGACUCCUGAUUUGUAUUCUACAUAUUUCUGCAUGCUUAUCAAUUUCUAUUAACCAUUUUCUUUCUUUUUUUCUUUUUUACUCACAAAAACAACUAUAAAAAAAAUCAUUUGGCUCUGCAACCGGGCUCUAAUACCAACUUUAUCACAACCCAAUCUCAGAUCAUGACCGGCGCACAGACUAACACUAACUAACCCUGUAUUUAGCCUGGCAAGCCUAAUACACUAUAACUAUUUAGAUUAUAGUUACUGAAAUUAUAGCUCGACAAGGAAGAUCCCUGGUCCUACGUAUCCCUAAACGAUUAGGGAAUCAGAGCCACAUAGUUCUCUAAGUGUUGGUUAACUACCAACAAAGUAUAUAAAAAAAACUAUCUCAUUUCAUUAUCUACACAUAGACCACAUUAUCUCUUCGUUGUGGUGAACGGAUACCACCUUAUCUCUUCGUAGUGGCGAACGGAUACCUAUACCACAUUAUCUCUUCGUUGUGGCAAACGGAUACCACAUUAUCUCUUCGUUGUGGCGAACGGAUACCACCUUAUCUCUUCGUAGUGGCAAACGGAUACCUAUACCACAUUAUCUCUUCGUUGUGGUGAACGGAUACCUAUACCACAUUAUCUCUUCGUUGUGGCAAACGGAUACCACCUUAUCUCUUCGUAGUGGCGAACGGAUAUCUACUUAAAAAUAUACUAUGAACAAUUGUUCAUAGGCUGCAUUCUCUCUUCGUUGCAGCAAACGGCUUCAAUUUAAAUUUCAAAUCACAGUCCAUAUCUUUAUUUUUAUGUUUUUCACCACAAAUAUUUCACAAACACCAAAUUGUUCACUAAAUUAUACGCUCAAGGAAGAAAACUAACAAAAUAAGUGUUGAAGGAUCAAAACAAUUUAAAAUCAACAUGUUACUCUCAUAUGAAAAAAAAUCUACACAAUAGUAUCCACUCAAUAAAUUCUCUACCGUAAAAGGCUCAACUCCAAUCUUGUAAUCAUUGAUUUUUUUUUUUUUUUUGACUCUUCUAAUUUAAGAGUUGAACUACUGCUUAUGAAAAUCACAAUGGGAUUUCUAUUUCUAAAUUACAUUAAAUCUUAAAUUCUAAUUUGACUACUUCUAAAAGAUUCAUAACCUAAUUUAGGAAACUCACCGGUAAUUUGAUCACCAAACAAGAAAUUGAUGGAAUUAGUGAGAAUUUUGAGAUUCUUCAAUUUCCCCAAAACCUUCCUAAACCCUUGCUUCGUGUCUUUAUUAUUUCACUGAAAUUUGAGUCUUCUUCUAAUUGAAUAAGAUGAAUAUAAGUGAGGAACUAUGUAUACAAAACUUCUAAAAUGGUAGAAAUGAAAGAAGAAAAUGUUUUGAGCGGAUGUUAUCAUGAUUUUUGCGUGGCAGAGUAUGGGAAUAGAGAAGAAGAUUUUGUUUUUCUUUUGUUACCUUCCAAAAGUUGCCUCACCUGAUACUUCUAGAGGGGGCAUUAGUGUCUAAUUUAUUAUUAUUAUUUUUAAUUUAUAUAAUACAAUAGAAUAAUAAUUUAAAAUACACCCACACACAUAUAGACUUAAAAAUUAACCAUAUUACUUUAACAGUUUAUUAAUAA
rnacentral:lncRNA from 1 species